rnacentral:rRNA from 1 species
AGUGAACGCUGGCGGCGUGCCUAAUACAUGCAAGUCGAACGGCGUGGCGCACGGGUGUGUAAUAUAUAGCUAAUCUGCCCCUUGCUGGAGGACAACAGUUAGAAAUGACUACUAAUACUCCCUAUGAAGGGAUGAGACUAUAUCGUAUCAGCUAGUCGGUGGGGUAACGGCCUACCGAGGCUAUGACGCGUAACUGGUCUGAGAGGAUGAUCAGUCACAUUGGAACGGAGACACGGGCCAAACUCCUACGGGAGGCAGCAGUAGUGAAUAUUGCGCAAGGGGGGAGACCCUGACGCAUCACCACCGCGUGGAGGAUGACACUUUUCGGAGCGUAAACUCCUUUUGUUAGGGAAGCGGUACCUAACGAAUAGGCACCGGCUAACUCCGUGCCAGCAGCCGCGGUAAUAC